rnacentral:sRNA from 1 species
AUCCUGCCGCCGCCCGGAUUCCGCACACACUCACCCGUACACGGCAGGAGCGGGGGACCCACAGGCAGUACCGCCUGUUCCGGUCUCCGGAACAGGCUAGGGGUUAAGCCGUACUUCGGUACGACCGGGCAUCUCCAGUCCGAACCCGACAGCUCACCUCGUAGGCGCCGGAGAGGAAUU